rnacentral:rRNA from 1 species
UACAGAGGGGGCAAGCGUUGUUCGGAAUUACUGGGCGUAAAGGGCGCGUAGGCGGCCUUCUAAGUCGAACGUGAAAUCCCCGGGCUCAACCCGGGAACUGCGUCCGAUACUGGAAGGCUUGAAUCCGGGAGAGGGAUGUGGAAUUCCAGGUGUAGCGGUGAAAUGCGUAGAUAUCUGGAGGAACACCGGUGGCGAAGGCGACAUCCUGGACCGGUAUUGACGCUGAGGCGCGAAAGCCAGGGGAG